GAGAAGGCAUUUCAUUCUUGUUGCCCAGACUCCGUUUCAAAAAAGAAGAAAAGAAAAGAAACCAAAUUGAAAACCAGAGAGACCUGUUCUUUGGUUGGAGUUGUGCUGGUUGCCUUGCGGGGCCUUGUAAUGAGCUUGGGAUGGCGGGCCGCAUUAAGAGCAUGAGCAGCUCUGUUUCUUGACUGUCCCAAGUCAGGCCCAGGUGAAGAGCUUCAGAGCCAUCAACUUUUCACCCACACACAGGACCUGCUACCUCAUCCCCAGAAGAAAGAGCGGAGUCCAGGGCUGCCGGCUCCUAGAUCUAAGCUCCUGAUGCUCACCGUUUCACACCACACAGAGCUCAGGUAACCUGUCCUGAGC
rnacentral:antisense_RNA from 1 species